GAUGAACGCUGGCGGCGUGCCUAAUACAUGCAAGUCGAGCGAACAGACGAGGAGCUUGCUCCUCUGACGUUAGCGGCGGACGGGUGAGUAACACGUGGAUAACCUACCUAUAAGACUGGGAUAACUUCGGGAAACCGGAGCUAAUACCGGAUAAUAUAUUGAACCGCAUGGUUCAAUAGUGAAAGACGGUUUUGCUUUCACUUAUAGAUGGAUCCGCGCCGCAUUAGCUAGUUGGUAAGGUAACGGCUUACCAAGGCAACGAUGCGUAGCCGACGUGAGAGGGUGAUCGGCCACACUGGAACUGAGACACGGUCCAGACUCCUACGGGAGGCAGCAGUAGGGAAUCUUACGCAAAGGGCGAAAGCCUGACGGAGCAACGCCGCGUGAGUGAUGAAGGUCUUCGGAUCGUAAAACUCUGUUAUUAGGGAAGAACAAAUGUGUAAGUAACUAUGCACGUCUUGACGGUACCUAAUCAGAAAGCCACGGCUAACUACGUG
rnacentral:rRNA from 1 species